rnacentral:lncRNA from 1 species
CCGUCCACUCCGGUAACUCGUGAACUUGGGGGGCGGGGGGCCUGGAGCACCGCGGGGAGGAGGGCGAGGGCGGCGGCGCGUGCGCAGGCCCGCAGCGUCUCCCGACUCGAGGCUCCGACUCCGAGCGAUGGAGACUUGGGUCCCGGCCUGGGAGGCGGUGGCGCCCGGUGUCCGGAGAGACCGCGGCCCCGAGACUCCUCCCGGGGAGGAGAAUCAAACUUUGGCGACGCCGAGUGACUCCGGCUGGCCGGCUCCUCCCCGCGGGAACGCUGCGAGGCGACGUGGGCUUGGAGAGGGGGGAGCGCGCCUCUGUCCCCGGGGGUCUCGGUACGCAGCCCCGCGACCGAAGCUCCGCCCCGGCUCCGGUCCCGCCUCCCGGGCUCCGGUCCCCACGACCCCAGCCCUGCUCCACCUCCUGCAGCCGCGCUCCGCCUCCCAGGCAGCGGCCGC